rnacentral:rRNA from 1 species
GACGAACGCUGGCGGCGUGCUUAACACAUGCAAGUCGAACGGAAAGGCCCUGCUUUUGUGGGGUGCUCGAGUGGCGAACGGGUGAGUAACACGUGAGUAACCUGCCCUUGACUUUGGGAUAACUUCAGGAAACUGGGGCUAAUACCGGAUAGGAGCUCCUGCUGCAUGGUGGGGGUUGGAAAGUUUCGGCGGUUGGGGAUGGACUCGCGGCUUAUCAGCUUGUUGGUGGGGUAGUGGCUUACCAAGGCUUUGACGGGUAGCCGGCCUGAGAGGGUGACCGGCCACAUUGGGACUGAGAUACGGCCCAGACUCCUACGGGAGGCAGCAGUGGGGAAUAUUGCACAAUGGGCGGAAGCCUGAUGCAGCAACGCCGCGUGCGGGAUGACGGCCUUCGGGUUGUAAACCGCUUUCGCCUGUGACGAAGCGUGAGUGACGGUAAUGGGUAAAGAAGCACCGGCUAACUACGUGCCAGCAGCCGCGGUGAUACGUAGGGUGCGAGCGUUGUCCGGAUUUAUUGGGCGUAAAGGGCUCGUAGGUGGUUGAUCGCGUCGGAAGUGUAAUCUUGGGGCUUAACCCUGAGCGUGCUUUCGAUACGGGUUGACUUGAGGAAGGUAGGGGAGAAUGGAAUUCCUGGUGGAGCGGUGGAAUGCGCAGAUAUCAGGAGGAACACCAGUGGCGAAGGCGGUUCUCUGGGCCUUUCCUGACGCUGAGGAGCGAAAGCGUGGGGAGCGAACAGGCUUAGAUACCCUGGUAGUCCACGCUGUAAACGGUGGGUACUAGGUGUGGGGUCCAUUCCACGGGUUCCGUGCCGUAGCUAACGCUUUAAGUACCCCGCCUGGGGAGUACGGCCGCAAGGCUAAAACUCAAAGGAAUUGACGGGGCCCCGCACAAGCGGCGGAGCAUGCGGAUUAAUUCGAUGCAACGCGUAGAACCUUACCUGGGUUUGACAUGGAUCGGGAGUGCUCAGAGAUGGGUGUGCCUCUUUUGGGGUCGGUUCACAGGUGGUGCAUGGCUGUCGUCAGCUCGUGUCGUGAGAUGUUGGGUUAAGUCCCGCAACGAGCGCAACCCUUGUUCACUGUUGCCAGCACGUUAUGGUGGGGACUCAGUGGAGACCGCCGGGGUCAACUCGGAGGAAGGUGGGGAUGACGUCAAGUCAUCAUGCCCCUUAUGUCCAGGGCUUCACGCAUGCUACAAUGGCUGGUACAGAGAGUGGCGAGCCUGUGAGGGUGAGCGAAUCUCGGAAAGCCGGUCUCAGUUCGGAUUGGGGUCUGCAACUCGACCUCAAGAAGUCGGAGUCGCUAGUAAUCGCAGAUCAGCAACGCUGCGGUGAAUACGUUCCCGGGGCU